UUUCUCUUCUUCUUCUCUCUAUACGUUGGUGUUCUAACCAAUAAUCACCGAUGCGAUGUUCUGUCCGAUUGAUUCAGGAACCAUCUAACGAAUGCCGAAGUGUUGUGCUUUGUGAAUUUCGUUAAACGGAAUCCAAAGUACUAUACUUUGUGAGUUCAUUAAAUGGAUACCAAAGUACUGUCUGAAUAAGACUAUACUUUGUGAAAUUCGUUAAGGUUCGAAUCUCGUGACUACCGUUAAGGUUUGAUUUGGGUUUUACACAAAUACGUAUUCCAUUCUGUUAAACUAUAUGUUUAACUACCAUAAUACUCCCAACCACACGCUCACAAUCAAACAAACUAUUAAAUCAUCAGAAGAUCCAGAAUAAUAAAGUGCAUGCUUAAUUAUCGGAAGAAGUAGAAUCAAGAAGCUUGAUAACUCAAUCUCACAUAAACCAGUAUGCGGGGUAAUUACAGUAUAUUGGAGUAAGGAUUGGAUCCAACACUGAAAGGACUUCAAGAAGUGGCUUAUUUUAUUAAUUAAAUCAACUUAAGAAAUAUUGUUUUUGGGGUUUAUCCCGUAUUAAAAGCUACCUUUGUAAAACCUGGAAUUUAUUCCAUCUAUUUAAAUAAAAUCCGGUGUUUCUAAACUCUGAUAUUUUUCCUAACUCACGGUCCUGAUGAAAUUUCCGCUGCAAUGUUUUUUCAAAAUAAUCACCGGUACCACUUGACUGCUCGCGGCUCCCGAUUCCGGUCAGGGUGGGGUCGGGGGUCGUGACAUAUUGCAAUGUAUUUAUGUGGUUGCAGGUAUAAACAACAUAUCCCUUAAAAUACCGACAAUCAAGGAACCGUAUUCCUUGAAGAACAAACUACCCCCAAAAUUCUCCCAUUCUAUGAUCCCUUGUAUUUCCCACGAAAUUCCUAAGUACCCGUUUCUUCUAAGGAAACGAAGUACAAGGCGCACGUUGCAACGCGAGACGAAUACCCAAAGUACCACUGUAAAUCCGUAAUAGGGUACCUAGGGAUAUUUCCGUAAAUCCUGAAAUUGAUGUGUUCCUUAAUUUGAAUAUUACGUUUCUUUGAAAACAAAAUUGAAUUUUUGGGACAUCUUCCUAUCUUUUCAGAUAGAUCCCAGAGGACAUUGUAGCCCAUCGACUGGUUUCCAUAUCCAUUCUCAAUCGAUAACAAAUUAAUAACCAAGUUAAACAACUAUGUGAUUAUGUGCUUAUGUGUUCCUUUUUAUGUUUUUGGUGUAAUCCAAGUUUUUUUUUAUCCAAAUCCUCGUAGAAUCUUCCAUAUCUACGAAUAAGGGAUUAUAAUGUACUACUCCAUAAUUAGACCCCUUGAGUGGUCUAGUUAAACAGAUUGAUCCAAAAAUCUUGUUAGGAAUAUCAUGUGAUGAUAUAGCUGGAAAGACUCCUUGGUGGUCUAAUUAAAGAGAUCAUCUGUCGAUCUAAUUAAAAGGACCCUAUGGUAGUCUAGUCACCCUCAUCACAGGUUUGAUUUUCCUCCCCUAAACAUUACAAGACAAACUGUGCGGACUAUGCAAGGAAUUACGUAAUUAUGGAUGCAUACAUAAUUAUGGAAUUUAGUGCACAGAAACCACAACGAGCUUUGUCAUGUGCCUAGAAGUUAACUCUAUUCAUUUCCGUUUCUGAGGAAGCACCCGUUGAAAAUGACUCCGUUUGUUCAUUUUCGUUUCUGAAGAUUGUCCGUUGAGGAAAUGAAUAUCCGUUUGAUUAUCCUUUUCAUUUCCAUUUCUGAUGAAGCACCCGUUGAAAAUAACUCCGUUUGUUGAUUUUCGUUUCUGAAGAUUGUCCGUUGAGGAAAUGAAUAUCCAUUUGAUUAUCCUUUUUCAUUUCCAUUUCUGAGGAAGCACCCGUUGAAAAUGACUCCGUUUGUUGAUAUUCGUUUCUGAAGAUUGUCCGUUGAGGAAAUGAAUAUCCGUUUGAUUAUCCUUUUCAUUUCCAUUUCUGGGGAAGCACCCGUUGAAAAUGACUCCGUUUGUUGAUUUUCGUUUCUGAAGAUUGUCCGUUGAGGAAAUGAAUAUCCGUUUGAUUAUCCUUUUCAUUUCCAUUUCUGAUGAAGCACCCGUUGAAAAUGACUCCGUAAGUUCAUUUUACGUUUCUGAAUAUUGUCCGUUGAGGAAAUGAAUCCCUGUUUGUUUAUUCCUUCAUUUCCGUUUCUGAAGAAUACUCGUUAAAGAAAUGGCAGGAUUAUGCCUUGUAUAUCUGGUGGUUACUUGACACAAAGUCACAGAUGGACUCCUACGAAUAAAAUUUCGGGACGAAAUUUCCAAAAGUAAGGGAGACUGUGACACCUGGGUCACUGAGACCAUCAAACAAAUACCAAGCCAAUGAAAUAUUGUAUUUCAUACUUGGAUCUGUAUAAAAAUGUGUAUCUUUGGCACAUAUCAACUCUUGUUCGAUUUUAAGCUCUAAAUCGCUUUCUAGAAGGUUAUACGCGCGCUGAUGCGUAAAUAUAACCAGUUUAAUGCAACAAACACUUCGGAAUAGUGAAAUAUGCUUAACAUACCUUAAAUAACCUUUACAUAACUUUGAAAUAAGUUUUGAAGGCUUUGGUAUGGCAAAAUCAAGUUAAUUCGCUUACAGGGACUAAAUUUGACAAACUGCGAAAGUAUGCCAAUUUGAACUGUAAUAGACAUUCCGGAACAUGACCAUAAGUUAAACACACCUUAAAAAUCCUUUACAUAGCUUAGAAAUAGGCUUUGAGGUGUUCGGUGUGCUAAAAUAAACUUUUGGAUCAUUCAGGGACUAAAAGUGUCAAAAGUGCAUAAGUUUGCACUUUCACGCAUAACUUACGUUCUAAAUACAUCCGGACAUCCAAAAAUUUAUGUAAGCAUUAUAAUAUUAUGCCUUAGUGUUUGGCAUGAGAAAAAUCCAUUCGUCGCGCAAUUUGGAUCGUUUUUCGCGCUUAUGCGCAUUCCGUCGUAAUUAAGCAAACAUCGCGAUCGUACGGCCAAACAAACCAACAUCCGGCAUAUUUUUGAGCAUGUUUCAUGUCCUUAAUGUUUAAGCAUCAUUUUAGGGCCUUAAAGAUGGCUUAACGGGCCUUAAACAUGUUGGAAAUGGCCUUAAACCACAACAGGGACCUAAAAUGUCAUUUCUGAAACUUGUUUUCUGAUCUGGACCCCAGACGGCCCGCGUAUGUCACACCCUGGCUUUGCGGAAGCGUGGUUAAUUUGGUGUGACUUCUUAAUACCAUAGCUUAACCAUAACAAGCUAUAUGAAUUUAAAAUCAUGCAAAGUCAUCCAUUAAAAAAAAUAAAAUUGUCAAACAUUGUCUAAAUGGGUAAACACCCAACAACCAUUACUUGUCUUAAACAGUACAACUACUACCAUAAU
rnacentral:lncRNA from 1 species